rnacentral:rRNA from 2 species
UUGACCUCAAAUCAGGUAGGACUACCCGCUGAACUUAAGCAUAUCAAUAAGCGGAGGAAAAGAAACUAACAAGGAUUCCCCUAGUAACUGCGAGUGAAGCGGGAAAAGCUCAAAUUUUGAAUCUGGCAAUCUUAAUUGGUUGUCCGAAUUGUAAUCUAGAGAAGCG